CUCCGGGGCCCCUCCGCUUCCGGAGAUCGCCUCAGAGUGGUCCCAGCGAGAAGAGGGCCGGGUCUUAGUCACGCCAGCGAGAAGGCGACCAAUGGUGGCUGAGAUGGGCGGGCGGGGGAAGUCCGGCUCAGACCUCGUCAGGUCGCGGAAAGAGAAGACGGAAUGAGCUCUUCGUGGGGGCUGUCAUGGCUGUUUGGCCGUUCUCGGACUUCUUUUUAGCCAGGAAAGCUGGUGGUCAGGUCAUGGAAAGCGCUAGAUUCAGGGCUCUAGAGCCAUGCUUUAGAUAGACCCUUGAGUACAUUGGUGAAUUAAAGUCAUUCACAAAGGAAUUCUCUUGCUCAGUUAGAGACAGGUUCAAUGUUAGGGUCGGAAUGAUGACAAUAGCAGGAAGAGAGGUAACAUCAAUUGAAUGCUUUAUGUCCAUGAGACUCUGCUAAGCACUUUCUGUGAUUUGCUUCAAUUCAGGGGCCUUGUGAACCACGUGCAACUAGAGAUUUUAUUGUCCUUCAUUUUGAAGAUGGGGAAGGAUCCAAGGAGUUAAAUCUCUUGCUGAGCAUUCCUUUUGUCACCCAUCCAUAUUCCCCUCAAUUCAUAUUCCCCUCGGGGUCCUCCAGCCCAGCUCCCUGGUUCUAAAGUGAAAACUGACUCCCAGAGAAGAAAAUUUAGAUGCUCCAGUUCUCACGAUAAAGCCAGGACACCCUUUCCCCAUGCCUCAUAGAAUAUUAGUUCUCCAGCUGGAACGGGGGAUGAUGGCAUUGGGUAUCUUCUUUUGGCCUUCACUUUUAUUGCCCAGUUAAAUGGCCAGGAAUUCAGUGGUUUUACAGCAGAUGGAAUGAGGGUUGGCAAUGGAGGACUGGGCAUUCCAGUCAAAGAAGCCCAUUAGUCAAAGAGCCUUCCUGUCCCUUCUUGCAGAUGAUAAGCCAAGUGAUGUGAAGGACAGAAGACACAAACUACCAUUUACUGAGUACAUACUAAGAACUGACACUUUGCAAGGUGCUUUACUUUACAAAAUUUAAUCCUCCCGACUACUUUUUUUUUUUUUUUUUUUUUUUUUGAGACCGAGUUUCACUCUUGUUACCCAGGCUGGAGUGCAAUGGCGUGAUCUCGGCUCACCGCAACCUCCGCCUCCUGGGUUCAGGCAAUUCUCCUGCCUCAGCCUCCUGAGUAGCUGGGAUUACAGGCACGCGCCACCGUGCCCAGCUAAUUUUUUGUAAUUUUUAGUAGAGCCGGGGUUUCACCAUGUUGACCAGGUUGGUCUCGAUCUGUUGACCUCGUGAUCCACCCGCCUCGGCCUCCCAAAGUGCUGGGAUUACAGGCUUGAGCCACUGCGCCCAGCCCCUCCUGACUACUUUUUGAAAUUACAUGAUUAAAAAACUAAAAAAACUUUCUGGGUGCAGUGGCAUGUGUUUGCAGUCCCAGCUACUUGGGAAACUAAGGGGGGGAGACCCAGGAGUUUGAGGCUGUAUGUGAUAGAGUUUGUGAAUAGCAACUGUGUCAGAGGCGUUUGAACCACAGCGAUUUCAUCUUGAAUAGGGACUGGUUAAAAUAAGGCUGAGACCUACUGGGCUGCAUUCCCGGGAAGUUAAGGCAUUCUUAGUCACCGGAUGAGAUAGGAGGUUGACACAAGAUACAGGUCACAAAGACCUUGUUGAUAAAACAGCAUGCAACAAAGAAGCUGGCCUAAUCCCACCAAAACCAAGAUGGCACUGAAAGGGAUCUCUGGUCGUCCUCACCGCUGAUUAUAUGCUAAUUUAGCAGCUUGGAAGUCAAAGGGGAAGUGAUACAUAUGCUUUGUGAUAGGCUGGCCAUGGUCUGAGAGAAAGAAGAGCUAGAACUUAGAAGCCAUAAAAAUUUGGCAUGUCCUCAAAAUCUAUUCCCAGCAGAGUGAGUGCCAGAUCUGGUAAAAGCAUCUAAAGGGUCCAAGAGACUGUCUUCUUAUCUCAAGAUCUGUUGUCUACAAAAUACAAUAAAUUCAGCCCAUCAAGUAAAAUGAUAGAGGAGACCUGACACGUCUUCAUUUUGCCUUUACUGAGGAGGUAUCCACAGAGACAGGUGAGUCAGUCACCACGUCUGAGAGGUUCCCAGAGCACUCCAGGAAUUGACAGGGGCUUGAAUCAGUGUGGGAGCAGCAGAGAUGCAGAGAAGUGUUGGAUCAAGAACUUCAUUUAAUAGUUGGGUUUGGUGGCAUGUGCCUAUAGUCCCAGCUACUCAGGAGGUCAAGGCAGGAGGAUCAUAUGAGCCCAGGUGUUUGAGUCCAGCCUGGGCAACAUAGUGAGAUGCCAUUUCUAAAAUAAAAAAAAAGAAGAAGAAGAAGAAAGAGAAAAAGAAAAAAGUGACAAUUAAUGUCAGGUAUUAGUGAAGAGUGAAUAGUAAAGCUGAAGAAAGUUUGAAGAAGGUUGAAAAAUGAACUUCCAUUUAAGUAACGUUUAUUGAGCUCUGGCAAUGCACCAAGCACUCUUCUAGGGAUUAGGGAUAUGGAGAUGAAUGGGACAAGGCCUCUGCCCACCUGGAGCUUACACUCCAGAGGCAACAUAGGUAGUAAACAAGUAGGCAGAGAUAUAAUAUCAUUUUAGAUCAUAUAAAUGCUAUGAAGAUGACACAACAAGAUAAGGGGACCAAGACUAAUCGAGGCUGCUUGAGAUGGAGCGGUUGUUGAAGAUUAAUUAGAUGGAUGGGAAUGGGGAAAAGGAGGCAGGAAGGGUAGAUUUCAGGGUUUGAGCUUGAGCUUUGGAGGAGAAAGGUAGUUUAUUUGCUAAGAAAGGAAGCCUGGAGAAUAAAUAAGUGAUUGGUUUUCCCAGCCACUCCUUACUUCAGCUUGGGGAUGCCUGGCAUGUUUUGCCACAGGAGUCAGCUGGUUUCAGCAGUUGGUGAUUUUCAUCUCAGAGGCCCCCAGCGUGGGUGUCACAGACUUCUGCUCUGCCCAGGAAUGCGUCCUACCAGGCAUUUCCUAGGGAGCAGGGAAGAGCCUAGCCUCUCCCAGGAGUUCUCCUCUGCCUGCUGAUACCUGCCUCCUGGCACCUCCACCUCAAAAGCCCAGUCUCAUCAUCCUCCCACUCCCUCUUCAUUUCCCUAAAGGCCCUGUUUCAGAUGGUGGUUUCAGCCACCACCCACUUGUCCAGUAUAGAAAGUUAGGAAUUGUUCUGGACUCCUCCUGCCCCCUCACAGUGCACAUUCAACCAGUCACUGAGUCCUCCUGCUAGUUCCUUCCUGUCUCUUCCUUCCUGUGUAACCGCACUGCUCUCGCCUGAGCACCAGCCUCUGUGUCUCUCAUUUAUACUCUUAAAGACCCUUCCUAGUGGGUGUAGUGGCUCACGCCUAUAAUCCAGCACUUUGGGAGGCCGAAGCCAGUGGAUCAUUUGAGGUCAGGAGUUCAAGACCAGCCUAGCCAACAUGGUGAAACCCUGUCUUUACAAAAAAUACAAAAAUUAGCCGAGCAUGAUGACACAUACCUGUCAUCCCAGCUACCCAGGAGGCUGAGGCAGAGAAUCACUUGAAGAGGCGGAGGCUGCAGUGAGCUGAGAUUGUUCCACUGCACUCCAGCCUGGGUGAUAGAGCCAGACUCCAUCUCAAACAUACAUACAAAAAAGACCCUUCCUGGCAGGUAUGAUGGCUCAUGCCUGUAAUCCCAGUGACUGGAGAGGCUGAGGUGGCUGAGGCAGGAGGAUCAGUUGAGGCCAGGAGUUUGAGACCAGAUUGGGCAACAUAGCAAGACUCUGUCUCUAAAAUGUAAAAAAAGAUUCUUCAUGCCUCUUUCCUGGCUUUAUCUGGCCCACCCUCUUUACUCAUGCCAGAGAGAGUUUUCCCAAUAGGAAACUAGAAUGUAUCAUUUUCAGGGCUUAGGACCAUGUCUUUCCCUGACGCAUUGUCUUCAAGAUAAAAUCACAGCUCCUGAGUCUAGGGUAUAAGAUCAGUCAUGAUUGGCCUCUGUGUAUAUCUUUAGCUGCAUCUCACGCCUCUAUUUACCCUUCAUUAUAUGCUCCAAUCAGACAAAAGCUGCUUCUCGCAAACUGAACGCUUGCUGCUGCCUGAUGUCCUCACCCCUUUUACAAGUAGAAGGCUCUCUUUUUAAGUUCCCAUUGAACACAUAUUUCUACUUUAAAACCCAGCCUAGAAAUUCCCAUCUCCAGAAAAGCUUCCUCUCUUCUAUGCUACUUCUGGCCCGUGUACGAGCUUCUACUUUUUUCACUCACUGCAAAAUAAUCCGUUUACUUGCCUGUCUCCUUCACUGCCAGAUGAGCUCUUUGAAGGCUAGGAUUGUGACUUAUUCUGUUCAGUGUCCCCAAGCCUAGCGGGAGAUCUGCACCCGAAUGGGGACUUACAAAUAAUAAAAUCAGAUGGGUGUUGGCCCAGGUCCUUCAGAUGCAACCUGGAAACUCUCAUUUUUGUAGAAACUUCUAGAAACAGAUAAUUAAUGACAACAACAAAAGCAGUUGGUACUUCUCAUAGGAGGGAAUCACAGUAUUUUAGAAGGGUGGGACCAGACAGUGUGGCCUAGGAGCCAUCAUGUACUACUUCCUCACACCAUGUUUAGUCAGGCGCAGCUCUAAUCACAGGUGGCCCUCUUCCUGGGCCUGGGUUACCUGUUAGUGUAUUUAUUAAGGCUUCCAUCAGGUUAGAGUGGUUAAAAACUAGGCAUUGUAAUCUGGCAGAAUUAGGUCCCAAUCCCUGAUUGGCUAUGAAACUUCAGAGUGGUAAUUUUGCUUCUCCAUGUCUCAGUUUUCUCUUUUAUAAAAUGGGGAUAAAUCAUACAGGAGAUCUCCAAAAGGUUAGAAAAAAAGCCGGGGGGAUGGCUCCCUUGCCAUUGAGCCUUUGUGAAGAUGAAAUCACUUUGUGUAUCUGAAGUGUUUAACUCAGUAUUUGGCAUUGGGAACAAAAGGAUAGGCUUGGUGUUGACUAUUAGACAAAAAAUUCGUGUUGACAUUUAAGUCUCAAUGUAAAUAUCACUUCUGCCCCUGGUAUUGCACGAAAACAGAUUAGAUUACUUUUUCAGAUAAGUCUGCUUUACUUUCUCAGGUAAGUUUUUUUUUUUUUUUUGAGACAGUCUCGCUCUGUCACCCGGGCUGGAGUGCAGUGGCAUGAUCUCGGCUCAUUGCAACCUCCAUCUCUGGGUUCAAGAUUCUCCUACCUCAGCCUCCUGAGGAGCUAGGAAUACAGGCUUGUGCCACCACACUGGCGAAUAUUGUAUUUUUAGUAGAGACAGAGUUUUGCCAUAUUGGCCAGACUGGUCUCAAACUGACCUCAAGUGAUUCACUGCCUCCACCUCCCAAAGUGCAGGAAUUACAGGUGUGAGCCACCAUGCCUGGCCCUCAUAGAACUUUAAUACUUUGGUUUAUAGUAUUCAUCAUGAUGUCAUUUAGUCUGACUUUUUCACUCAACUCAGAAAGCUCCCAGGGGGCGUGGCUGUUAUUUUUAUUUACCAUGUGUCCUUAACUCUUAACACAGUUACUGGUACAUAAACAGCUCUAAUUGAAUGUUUGAAUAAAGAAAUGAAUGAAUGAGUAAGCCUUUCCUAAUGGCUGCUACCACUAAAGAUCUUAGCAUAGUGUGUGUGUGUGUGUGUGUGUGUGUGUGUGUGUGUGCGUGUGGUAAGACUAUUCAGUAAGGCUAGAAGUGAAAAAGCUGGUAGAAAGCCCAUGGUGUUGGAGAAUGAAGGAAAACUGAUUAGGGAGCUCCUCACCAGUAUAAGGAAGGACUAAGAGCACAUAAGGACAGGAUCAUAAAAUUCCGCAUCAUAGGAUUUUUGAGGCUGUCACUGCCUUAGGCUGUGAGGCCACUGCAUAUAAGAAUAGUUUGCACAGUUCUGCUGUGGAAAUCAGGGUUUUUACUGAAAGCUUAGCCAACUAGCCAGCAAGAAUAGCUUUCUGGAGCUUACAGCCUUAUGAAAAUUCCCAAACUGAGGAUAAUCCCAAAAAAGGUUUUCUUGCUGGCUUUGAAAAGCAGGAUAUACUUUUUAAAAUCCCCUCUUUAUCUAUG